UACGGAGGGUGCAAGCGUUGUUCGGAAUUAUUGGGCGUAAAGAGCGUGUAGGCGGUUGAACAAGUCAGAUGUGAAAUCCCUCGGCUUAACCGAGGAAGUGCAUUUGAAACUGUUCAGCUAGAGUACGGGAGAGGGGAGCGGAAUUCCCGGUGUAGAGGUGAAAUUCGUAGAUAUCGGGAGGAACACCGGUGGCGAAGGCGGUUCCCUGGCCCGAUACUGACGCUGAGACGCGAAAGCGUGGGGAGCAAACAGG
rnacentral:rRNA from 1 species